GGGGCUGCCCGGUGAACGCGGAAAGGAGGGAACCCAAAACUUAUUGAACCCUUUUUCGGCCCGGGCCGGGGUGGGAGGAGAGAGAGAGAGAACGGAGCAAACGACGCCGAGCCGGAGCACGCGUUCUGCGCCCCUCUCCCUCUCUCCCACCCUCACGGGAGGCGAGGCGAGGCGAGCGCGAGGGCGAGGGCGGAGGGGAUCGGAUUCGGGGAGGCCGAUCGAGCAGGGGAUCCGCCGCGGGGAGCGUCGCUUGGUUCCAGCCCCUCCACCCCCCUCCAGGUCUCGUGGCAGGCGCGCGCGGUGCCGGGGCUCUGGGCCGGCCGGUCUUUGAUCCCGCGCCCCCGGAUCAGCAGGGAUCGCGCGGGGAUCCUAGGCCGUCCUCGGUCGCAGCUCUCGCCCCGGACUUCUCCCUCAUCCGUCGGACAGGCAUGGCGAUUUUCUUAAGCUAUCCUUUUUUUUAUGCAUGAGUGGUUUUUUUUUUCUCGUGGAAUGUGAGUUGGUGGAGUGAGGAUUUUGGUGAUUUUGCGUGGAGGGGAGGGGCGAUGGAUCCUUUUCAGGCACAGAUUGCUGCUCAGCCAAUUUUACUAUGCGUGCCGUGUGAAUCGUUGCACGGUUGGUGUGGUUGAUUGGAGUGGGGGGUGUCUGAUUGCGUUGGCACUGUCAUCAUUGUUCAUCAGGUCAUGUACAUGUGCUUGCUAUCAUGGGGGCAUUUUGUGAGUAAAACUGAAUGUUGCAACUUGAGAGCGCUUAUUUUAUUUUAGGUGAUUUUUUAUUUUGUUGGCGGAAAGGUAAAGGUAACGGGAAGGCAUUCCAAAACGACAUGUAAAAGUAGCAUGAUUAACAUGUUUUGCAAUUUGGUGUAGUAAUCAUGAACCCAUGCCUUGACGGUAAAAGUCGUAGAGUUGAUGAAGAGUUCUGCUCAUUGUUUAGACCUGUUUGAAACAGCCGGUGCUGUUAC
rnacentral:lncRNA from 1 species